rnacentral:sRNA from 1 species
UGAACGUGUGUUUGCUCUGGAACUGCAA